rnacentral:rRNA from 1 species
UACGUAAGUUACGUGAAGGUUGCUUACUACUUUGAUAACCGCGGUAAUUCUAGAGCUAAUACAUGCGUCCAAACCCAAAUUUUGGGAAGGGUUGUGUUUAUUAAAACAUUAACCAACCCCGGCCUGCCCGGUUUCGAGGUGAUUGAUGGUAACCGAACGAAUCGCAUGCUUCGCCGGCAAUAAUUCAUUCAAUUUUCGACCCAACCACCUUCCAAGGGUAGGAUAUGGCCCUACCGGGGUUUUGACGGGAAACGAAAAAUAAGGGUUUAAUUCCGAAAAGGAGCCCUAAAAAACGCCCCCCCCUUCUAAGGAAGGCACCGGGGCCCAAAAUUCCCCAUCCCGAAACCGGGGGGGUGAGGACAAAAAAUACAAAAU